UACCUACUUCUUGGGAUGACUUUCCCCUUCCAUUUUCUCCACCUUCCUCCUGUAUGAUGAAUUCAGGCACCAGGAACAAGUCUCCUAAUACCACCAAUGACAUGACAUUUAAAGGGUUCAAGGUGUGUUCCCCUGGGAAUCUAACUACCAUUUAUUUCCAUAGAAAGACAUGUCUUUUGUGUUCAAAACAGUCAACUUUUAGAGUCCCUCUAUUUCACACGUGCAGAUUCAUAAACACGUAUAAGGAAAACGUAUGCAGCGGGUUUAGAAACACCAGUAAUUAAAUGUGACACCAUUUUCCUUUCCAGAAGAGCACAUCCAUAAAGCAAAGGGCCUCAUCUUGCUUCACCUGCAAUGUCUUCCCCACAGGUGCUGUGCUAAUGAGGAAAGCAGGGCGUCAGAAUACUGCUCUCCUCUGAUAGAAAGCACCCUGCUGACCGCUGUACCUGGGCAGAGCCCAGCGCUGUGCACACAGAAACAUCCUGAUCUCACCGACCAGCUCUGCAAUGGGUUCUUUUUGUCCAGUAAUGAACAUGAGAGCAAAACUUAACAGCACUGUCCCAUGCAACUUUGUGUGAUGAUGGAGAUGUUCUCCUGCCCUGCCUGUCAAGACAGUGGCCGCCAGUGCACGUGGAUACUAAGAACCUGAAAUAAGGCAAGUGCAAGAGGAACUGAAGCUUUUCUCUCCUUUAAUCCUAAUUAAUUUAAAUUUGCAUGGCCACAUGUGGCUAAUAGUUGUCACUCUGGGCAGGACAGUGGUAGAAAACAGGAACCAUUGCCCAUCGGCACACCAACUCAUCUUUAGAAAGAUUUUAUGAGUCUCAUUUCUCAUAUGAGCAUAUUUAAGGCUCACGAGGGUAAGUGACAUGCCCAUGACCAAAAAGCUGGUAAAGGGCAGAGAAGAAUUUACACUUAACCUGCCAGACCCAGCCUCCACUCCUGCAAUGACGUCAAACUGGAUUCCUCCAUAUUCGUGUAAAAGCAGCCUCUAAGGCAAGUAUCAGCCUCUGAAAACUCCAAAUUCUCAGUAAAUAGCUAUGAAAGGAAGCUGGCCAUGUGUGGCAGGAUUCCUUCCAACAAAAACACAUGGGAAAAUAUUUCUCUCCAGCUAUGACUAUCUAUGUGAGUCUUUCAACUGCACAUUGCUGUAAGUAUAUCUGACAGCCCCCACUGUGCUCUAAAACUUCUGCUCCAAGCAAGUAGAAGCCCCAUGAAUUUGUGAGAAGGCAACAAUAUGAAAAUGAUUUUAUUAAACUUCCGCCACAUCCCGUUACGCUGUCUAAGCAUUAUACUCUCCUACUUACCCUUUGCUGACAAACUGGAUUAUACUUUCUUUCCUAAAGCAACAGGAUCCCACGAAACUGUGCAAAAGAUAAAGACACUACGAUUUCAAAAAACUGAUUUGGACACAGUGUCAAAGACCCCACUAACAGACUCACUUAGCUAUUUCUACAGAAGCCUGGACUCAAGGUCAACUGAUAUGGUUCCAGCCUAGGAACAAGCAAGGCCUGGCAUUCCUUACUCGAGAUUACAAGCCCAAGACCCCCUCCAGUUUAUACUGGCUCUCAGAGCAAGCCCAUAAUCCCUCUCCUCAUCUGAAGAUAACCUCCUGACAUCACGGGCUGAAUUCUGCCUCCUUCCGGAGUUAAGUCUCCACCUCAAGGGAACAUGGGUAUAUGUUACAAUAAACGUUUGCUCAAUGAA